UCACUGGUUUAACCAGUGACUAAAAGUUCACUGGUUGAAUCAGUGGAAAUUCACUGGUUCAUUUUAAGAGAGUAUAUAACUGUAGAGCAUUUUUUUUAAAUUUAUCAUAAUAAAAACGGAAAUUUGUUUUAAAAAGACACGACAGAUUUACGAAUUUCUCGAGAUAUCUGAAAAAUAAUUGUCCACAACAUUUUAAUGUUAUUGUGUAAAAUAUGGGAAACAGAUUGUUAUGAUUCAAGUUUUUUUGCAAACAAAAUCAGCAAGAAAAAAAAAUUUAAUCAUCAACCAUUAACUUAUUAUCUUUAACCUUUAAACGAUAACUCCGGCCUGAUAGACCGCUAAUCAAAUUCAAAAUCAAUAAAACUUCUUUUAAUAUGUUUAGUUUAAAAUAUUAAUUAAUGUGAAGUUUCAAAAUAAAUAGAGUUUAUAAUAUCAUUGAAUCAUAUCUUUUUUAUGAAGAUAUAGUUUUAAUCGUAAAAUAGAUAGUCCCCUUCUCAAAAGUAAAAAAAAACGGAGUGUACGUUUUAAUAGCAGUCCGUCAACCCGGCAUUACCCGUUCGCGUGCAAAUUUUUAAGCUUACUGCUUAAAGGUUAAAUCAGUUAUCACUUAAUGAAAAACAUUAAUGUUUUAAUAAAAAUAAUUAUUAUGUUACUCCUUAAUAUUUGAUUUGAUAAGUGAUCAAGAAUUAAUGCAAUUUGUUCAGUGUAAUUAAAGUGACUCUUCUUAUUUUAAAGACCUUGAAACACAUACUCAAUUCCUCAUACUUCGAUCGGAGUUACAUUACUCAGCAUGUGCACCGUUUUAACACCAGUUCAAUUACACUGCUAAAUAACACCGCUCCACCGACGGUGUUUAGUUUUCAUGAUAAUCUAUCAAUUUCAACAUGAGUGGUUAACCAUCAAAUACUUUUAAUUAGUCUACUUGCCCUACUACGAAACUUUGUGGCGAAAAAUUGCCGUAGUCAAAUAAAAAAUUGAAUAAAAUAUAGAAAAAUCUGGUGAAUCUUCCGGUACAAAAACCUAGCAAAAAAGGUGUAAUUUUUUUUGUUAUUAACAAAAACGUUUUGCAAGUAAAGCUUUAGUCUACUUGAACGGAAUACUGGAUAAAGAUUUUCCCCAUCCAGUUAAUUAAAUGUACAAAAUAAAAUAAUUCAAUCUUUUCUGAAUCGUUUGGUCACAAAGUUUAUACGAAAAUGUUAAUUAUUAAUUAUGAAAAUAAUUAUUUAAUUCAAUCAACACGAAAAAAUACCAGCCUAACAGCUGCUUUAUGUACCGACGUGGUCUACGCAUAUCCAUAGUGGGGAAAAGUUGCGCGCGUUGCCAUGAGUUAUUUAAAAUUCCUAUUUUAAAUGAUUAGGAAAGUAAUAAUUUUUGUGAAAGUAAAAGCUUUUUUUUAUAUAUUACUAAAUUAUAUUUUAAUAAUUUCAUCCAUUGUAAUAAAUUUUUCCAUUAAUUAAUUGAGUAUAUAAUAUUAAAAUAAAUAAUUGCCUGAAAUAAAAUAAUUCACGCGCUUGGAAUUAAAAUAAGUCAUGGCGACGCGCGCAACUUCUCCCCACUAUGGAUAUGCGCAGACCACGUCGGUACAUAAAGCAGCUGUUAGGCUAGUAUUUUUUUGUGUUGAUUAAAUUAAAUAAUUAUUUUUAUAAUUAAUAAUUAUCAUUUUCGUAUAAACUUUGUGACCAAACGAUUCAGAAAAGAUUGAAUUAUUUUAUUUUGUACAUUUAAUUAACUGCAUUGGAAAAAUCUUUAUCCAGUAUUCCGUUAAAGUAGACUAAGGCUUUACUUGCGAAACGUUUUUGUUAAUAUAAAAAAAAAUGUUGGCGGGAAAAUGUUGCCUUUUAUUUUUUAUUAUUUAUUUUGUAUUUUGAAAUUCUAAUUUUAUCUGUAAAAUAAAUUAAAUUAAUGAUCUAAUUUAAAUUAAGUAAUUAUAAGGAUGAAUAGGAUAAAUAGGUAUUAUUUAAUGAAAGUCGUGGUUUGGGUAUAUCAAAAAUGAAGAGUAUAUUUUGACCCAAAAAAGUGAGGGAAAGAAUUACGGCAUAAAACCCUUUGAAGAAGUUACAAUGAGAAAGAUUGAGAGAAUUAAGAUAUGAUAAUGAUAGUAACUCGUUGAACAAUUGACACAAGAUAUUGAACGUAUAGAUGUAUGUAUAUGUGUGUGUGAGUGAAUAUGUAUGUAUGUGCUGUAUACGUGAGAACGGAUACAGUGAAAGAUUACGCGAUGUUGGAUCGUCGUAUAAGUUAGAGAGUACGCGACGCUGGAUCGUCGUACUUAAUUCGAUCUUGGAUCGAGUUGAUUGUAAGAAAAUAUACACGUCUGUAUAUUGAGAGCGAGAGCUCGAUUGUCCACUGUGAGACGAUUUGAUAGUACGUGGUACUGUAGAACGAAUGAUUGUUUUGAAAGCUUUCGGUGCGCUGAGGCGAUGUUACCGAUUGAUCAGAUCGAUUAUAUGAUUUGAACUGUGCGACUAGGCACUUGAAACGUACAUUAGAUUAUGUUUAAUCAAUUUGGUAUUGAUAUAUUAUUGAUUGCGACAGAGGCUAUGUGUUGAAUGAAGUUAGAUUCGAAUCCGAUCAAUUUGUAUUGAUAGAUUAUUGAUUGCGACAGAGGCUAUGUGUUUGAAUGAAGUUAAGUUGAAAUCUAAUCAAGUUGUAUUGAUAGAUUAUGGAUGGCGACGAGGCCUGUAUGCGUGAGGUUAGAUCUGAUGUAUGGGAUCACGGCAAGGCGCGUUGAUAGUGAUAAAGCGCGGACAAAUAUCAAACUCUUAGUAUUGCACGACUCAUGAUGCGAAGCAUCUGAGAUGUGCUUUACGAUCGAAAAAUUUAAUUCGCCUCACUUCGGCAACUAUUUCAAUUAUUAUAUCCUUGUUAGUUUACGGAAUUGAAAUAUGUUGCAUACUAUUUUGAAGAUAAUUUAAUGGAGAUUAGUUCCAUACUUUUCAAAAAUUUAUUUAGUUCAAUAAAAACGGAAUAAACAUCAAAAUAGUCUAAAAAAAUUUCCUGUCCGUCAAGUAUGAAACCCGUAGACACAAUAACUUACGAAAAAAUGCAGUAAUUGAAUCAAAUUUUUUUUUGUUAAAUUCUUUGAAAGAUUUGUAGAUCCCCUAGUGCUAAUGGCUAGAUAACUCAGUGUCGUUUAAUUACAAUUAAUAAAAGAAUAAAAAGGCUGUAUAACUAUAUCUAUAUAUAUCGAUGUAAAAUUAACAUGGAUGCCGAUAUAUCUAUACCUAUACAUUAUACGUACAUUUAUCCCACUAGGGGCGCUUGCGAAUUACCAUCCUAGUACAGCUGUUUUUUUUUGCUAAUUGGUAAGCCUGAAUUUUUUCAGUUCAAUUUUUUUUGUUUACAUAUAUUUUUUUUUGUUUUUGUUAUUAAUCGAGAUAUUUUGAGUAGGUUCUUUUAUAAUUAUAAAAAAAAUAUUAACAUAAUUAAAA